AUGGGCCGUGAAGACAUGAAGGUCGAAGACUGUACCCGUUACAAAGGCCACUGCAAUGAUCCAACGAUCAUUCUUGAGGCAGUUGCAACGAAGGAUCUUUGGAUAUGA
rnacentral:rRNA from 1 species